rnacentral:lncRNA from 1 species
AACUCAGGAGCCCUGCACUUACUGCUUUCCUCUUUGUUGACACAGAGGUAAACAAAAGAGAUAACUGAGAUGGCAGUCCUCAACUCAAGCAGACCCAAGGGAUGCUAUCAGUAAAAGGAAGUCCACCACCUCUUGAAGCUGAGUUGUUCUGACUUAUUCUAGCAGAUAUACAGGUAUGGAUUAGUGCUGCUGUUCAUCACUAUGAUAACAAGAAAAAAUGAUGAAUGUAGUUUGUAGAAAUCCAAAUAUCAUCUUCCCAGUGCUACUAUAUUUUGUUCUAUUUUCUCCCACUGUCUUGUGUUUGUGGAUGACAAGAACUUCCUUUUCUCAUGCCUGUUUCUAUGUGUUUGCUUACUAAAAUUUUAUUCUUGCUCUCUGAAUCAUGUUCAAUUAAUUACAACAGUUUUAUGGUCCUUUGACAAAAAUUCCCAAACUUAAAUAACCACCCAGUUAUAAAAUUCUCUUUGCAAAUGCAUUUUAAAUAUUUAUCAGUUAAUUAAAUAAUCUGACUCUAUUGCAAUAUAUUCUCUUCUUGGAACAAUGCAUCCCAUUGUCUUGCAGGAUAUGAAAUUAAUUAUAAUAAAAUAAUUAUAGGAAUUUAUUAGCACAGAUAUAGGGCUUCUCUUCCCUCAGGAAUUAAAGCAAAUGGCGAUAUAUAAUUGGUUGCAUCAGCUUAACAAUUUAAAACAUCUCCAUGCCUUAUUAUAAAAGCUUAAAUAAAAAAGGAUAUCCCUCAGAUUUAUGUUUUGUUUGCAUUUUCACCUGGCUUAAUUGAGAUUUGCAGUCACAUCAUCUAUAUGCAAGAAAUUUUCUCCAACAUCAUUUCAUGGCAACACAAUUUCCAAUUUGAACUCUGUCCAAGAAAGCCUUGCAGAAUAUAGGCAGUCCUCCGAUCUUGUCCUCUGUUCGUUUAUUAAUACUGCAAUAUUGCAAAUUCAAAGUUCUGUUGUGUUUGUAACUCCUCUUCCAAACUUAUUUUAAUGUUUUUUAAAAUCAGUAUCAGUGAUUUAAUUUUGCUUAUACUUACAUAAUAUAUGGCAUUGAUAUGAAAAUUUUAGGGGGAAAAGAUGCUUUUCUACAACAGGUAAGUGUGACAAAUAGGACAGAAUUAUUCUCUAUUGCCACUUAUUUUGAUAAUACCAUUAAAAUCUAUUUAAGAUCAUAUUUAUUUCUGGUGAACCAUUUUUCUACUAUGGUUUUAUAAAAAUAACACAUGUAUCUCCAUUCCUGCUUACAACCCCCCAGGUUUUCUUUUGACCAUAAUGCCAAAACUAUUUAUGUAAAUAAAUGUAAAGGAGGCAUUCAAAUCCUACUUAUCAAAAAUGAUUAAUCUAACUUAAUGGUCUAGAUUAGGAGUUCAAGAACAUUGUCUAUAAUGGGACAGAUAGUAAGUUUUAAUUUAUUUUUAAAUUUGUGGUCCAUAUGGUCUCUGUCUUAACUUUGUCUUAACUAGUCAACUCCACCUUAUGGCAUAAAAGCAGCCUUACACAAUAUGUCAAUGAACAGAUAUGACUCUGCUUUAGUAGAUAUUUACUUAUAAAAAAUAAAUGGCAAUCUACAUUUGGCCCAUUGACCAUAGUUUUCCCACCCUUUGUUUUUAGAGAUAAAACUAAGUGUCAAUAUUUCCUCUAUCUAAAAUUAAAAUAAUAGUUAUAUCUAAUUUAUUUUAGCUAUGUUCAUUGGUUCAAUAAUUAAUAUUCACUGGCUCAUAAUAAUGAGAUUAAUUGGAAUGAGUCUUAGAAAAUUGUUUAUUCUUAUUGACUGGGUGACUAUAGUUUUUGAGCAAGACAUACAUGAAGGGUGUGUUAUAUAAUCAAGAAUUUAUCACUUAGUGCUCAAGGCUUUUCUUUUGAAUUUUUAUUGAAACAUCAUUACUGUUUGAUGCUUUAGAACUUUUAAUUAUUUUCAGUUGAAAGCUCUCUACUCAUACCUCAAAGACAACAUUUUUAUAAAAGAACAAAACUGAACAGAGAUGUAGCACCACAGUGUUUUAUUACAACAAAAUUCCCAUGCUUUACAAGUUAAUAAAUUGUAAUGAUUUUUAAAAGUACUUUUUAGUUAUAAAUAGACACAAUCUUUUAUUUGUUUAUUUUUUUAUGUGGUGCUGAGGAUCAAACCUAGUGCCUCACAGGUGCUUGGCAAGUGCUCUACCAUUUAGCCACAACCCCAGCCCUUGUAACAAUUUUUUAAAAAGCAACAAUAUAAAACCAAAAAGACAGCAAACUUGUACUUUAUUAUUUUCAAGCAAUUACUUUGUUUAUUCACAUAUUUACCCAAACAUGUAUUUAUAUAUGCCCCUUUGUUAUCUACAGAAAUGUGAAGAAAUAUAAAUUCCAUUUGUCUUAGUCUACUUUGUUUUCCUAAAACAAAACAACUGAGGUUGGGCAACUAAUAAUAUGUUUAUUUGGCUCAAACUUCUGUGGCUGAAGGGUUCAAACACCCUGGCACUGGUGUCCUGGUGAACGCCUCGUGGCUGCAUCACAAUAUGGUGGGGAACCAGAAAGGCAACUGACCAUGUGCAGAAGGGGCCUCUGUGUGAGCAAGGAAGCAAGAGACUGGAGAGGAGCUAGGUUUGCUCUUUUUAUAACAACUGUGUCUCAAAGAAAGUGCAUUAAUCCCUUCCAAGGGUGAUGUUCUCAGUGACAUCAUAAUCACCUCCACACACACACUAGGACCCACUAAUUAAUGCUUCCAACACCUUGGACAUAACCAAACUGAGGAUCAAACUUCUAGCAUAUGAAACUCUGGGAGACAAAUUAUAUACAAAUCCUAUCACAAUGUGACUUACUUCAGAAGGUAGGUUGAAGAAAGUUAGAGUUCUCAGAAAAGCUUUAAAAAAGAAAAAAGGAGGACAUCUUCUUCUACUUUCUAGACCAAAUGAAAUGACAUAAUAAAAAAUCCCUGUGAGAAGGAUUUAACUAUAAGUCAUCUGUUUCUAUUUUCUUCAGAAAAAGCUUCCCUGAGGAUUGUUAGAAAGUCCAUUCCCACUGGGCGUGGUGGCACAUGCCUGUAAUUGCAGCAACUCAGGAUGCUGAGGAAGGAGGAUCACUAGUUCAAGGCCAGCCUCCUCUGCAACUUAAUGAGCCCUGAACAACUUGAUGAGACCCGGUCUCAAGACAAAAAAAUAAAAAGAACUGGGGGAUGUAGCUCAGUGGUAGAGGGUCCCUAGGUUAAAUCCCUGGUAUGCCCCCCAAAAGAAAGUCUGUUCCCUCUCCUCCAGGUAAAAUCAGAAAUAAAAAUGAGCAUGAAACAAUAAAUAUAUUUAAAAUGUAUUUCUUUGCCAUAUGCCUAUAGGGAAUGCAAAAUAAACUCAUAAACGUAUAUAGAUGUGUGCUUAUGUAUUAAUCCUAAAUAUAAUUAGUUUAGAAAGUAGAAUUUUAAUAUCUAAACAUUUCCAAGUAUAGUAAAAUGGAACCAUUUUUUAUACUAUUAAUAAUAGAACUGUGUUGACAUUCCCAGUAAAAUGUUGAUGACAGACACCACAAGGUUGGUAUUAAUGUUUAUGAGAAAGCUUUGGCUUUUAUUUUACUAGUGGUGUUAAGUAAAAUGUCUUCUUGAAUUGUAUCUACUACACUUUAAACACAAUUUUAAAAACAUAUAUAAUUUUCCCACCUCCUCCUGAAAAGAUAGAACAAAAAACAACCAUUAAGCUUCUAAGAAACAAUACUUAUUUUCUGGAUAACUAAAGGAAAGCGCUUACCUUAGGGUCAAUGACCUAAGAACAAAGGUAGGUAAUAUCUGUUCUUAAUUCAUUGGGGGAAAAAUAAGUCACAUUUUAUUUUAAAUUCUGAAUCCUAUUUAUAACCCUGACAAUUUAUUCCUUCCCUUCCUUCCUUCCUUCUCCCCUUGAUCCUUCCCAUCCUCCUUUCCUCUCUUUUCUCUCUGUCCUUCCCGGCCGUCUACCACCGUUGCUUCUAUUUCAAUCACAUUCUUUUUUGUUCUCCUGUAGAUAAGAGCACAAUUCCACCAGGUGCGGUGGCUCAAGCCUGUAAUCAGAGCUGCUUAGGAGGCUGAGGCCGGAGGAUGGGCAGUUCAAAGCCAGCCUCAGCCAAAGCAAGGCACUAAGGAACUCAGUGAGACCCUGUCUCUAAAUAGUACAAAAUAGGGCUGGGGAUGUGGCUCAGUGGUUGAGUGCCCCUGAGUUCAAUCUCUAGUACCCCUCUGCCCAAAAAAGGAGCAGAAUUCUCAGCCUAGGGUUCCAGGGGUGACAAACUCAGGACACCCUAAGUUGUACAGAUUUGAUCAAAGCUGCUUUUUAGUCAUAUAUACUCAGUCUGGGUGAAGCAGACCAGGUACCCCCACCCAAAAGAUACUUGCCAUAAUAAAGACCCACCCUAUAAUCAUGCUUUUGUCACAGAGAUUUUUACAAAAAAAUUUCAGCAAAAUGUCAACAGGAUUUCUGCAGCGAUCUCUAUGUGGUUUGAAGCGUCUUCUUUGUUGUAAAUGCCAGGUUUGCAGACAAAAUAUGUGAAAUCUCUGUCUAGCCUAAAAACAUAGGACAAAGAGUAACUGAUGUGUUCCCAUCUACUUCCACUGUCAUGUAGUCAACCACCCCACUGAGUAUAAACCUAAAAGAGUUUCCAGCCUGAGGGUCCAGAUAUUUUUAGGCAUUAGCUGCUUUGGAUAGCUACAGCUUAAAUAAACUUAUUUCCUGAAUAUUCCUUGGGUGUCCAGCCUCUCCUGUCCUAUAUCAUGGGGAAGGAGGACACUGUGCCUUCAGGGCCAUGUAAGAAUUGCAUUCAGGAACAUAGGUAGAAACUACAGGUUUGGGAGGCAGGUUUGUUGCAUCAAGAGGAGGAAGUGGGGGCUGGGGUUGUGGCUCAGCUGUACAGGUCUUGCCUAGCACAUGCAAGGCCCUGGGUUCAAUCCUCAGCACCACAUAAAGAUAAAUAAAUAAAGAUAUUGUGUCCAACUAAAAAAUAAAUUUAAAAAAGAAGAGGAAGUGUCCCUGGUUCCCAAAGAAAGAUGUGAUUGGCUUCUUUGAAUUUUACUGUGGGCAUGCACAUAACUGAAAUUCACUAUUCUGAAAUAAUCAGGAUUGUUGUUGAGUUAUGGGAUCUUAUCUUCAGGAGCUGAGUGGGGGAAGAUGAAACAGUUCUUAGGUUUGGGAAGAUAAAAUACCUAUAAGACAAGUCAAGUGAAUAUUUAUUACUCACCAGCAGUAACCAUAAACCAAAGCCUGGGGUUCAUGAUAAGGCUGAUCUUAUGGUUUCGAAAACCGUUCAAAGUGAAUGGAAUCUCAUUUGCAUGUAUUCCUUUUCAUUGCAGCUGAGGGACUCUGAGGGUACUCCACCCUGGGUUUUACAUCCUGGGCAUGGCUUGGAUCACUGAACUCAAAUACUGUAGAACAUCCUAAUUUGGGAGAAGCAAGAGCACAGCCUGGGUUGUUCUGAAUAUUUUCUCUUUUUUCAGAAUGUUGCAUUCUUGGUGGAGUCUUGCCUGAAAAUUACAAGCAAAAUGAGGAAGAUAAUUGGGUUGGCCAAGGCCAUCUGGGGAUCUGUCUUCUUGAAAGUGUAAAAUAUAUAUAGGGUAAAUGAGAUCCUUCAAUAACACCACACAUCAAAACAGCACAUACUAUUGAGCCUUAACUUUAAGGAUUGUAUCAUACAGAUACCUUUGAUGCCUUGAUAUAGAUUUAAAAUUUGUUAAUGAUUGAAUCUUUUAUGGAGUUGGAAAAGUGCUUCUUCGGGAAGAGAAACUGGCUUUAGACCAGAAACGAGAAUGCCACAUUGAAAUUGUUAUCAAAAUAAAUUUUAAAGGGACUUUAUUACAAAAAUGCCAUUCAAGAGACUUGUGUGACAUUGGCAACACAUAUCCCUGGGGGUCAUGAAUAGUAUGCAUUUAGAUUUAUUAAUGCCUAUGGCAACAGAGGCACCCACAUGAUGAUCCAUUUGUCAUGCUGUGACUUAAAUAGCAGUUCUCUGAAUAGCACAUUGUGCCUCUCAAUUAUGCAGGCUUCCUGGAGCCCAUAGGCAGAGUAGAAAUUCCACCAAUUGUGCACCUUCUUCAAGAUAUCAUUAUUGUGAAAUCUGUGUACAAUGAGUGCCAUGGUCAAUGCCAGAAACAUGUUAGGAACUAUAUAAGAGAAUAAAGAAUUUUGUCCUGGUGAGGCUUUAUAUUGUUGUGUCAAUACAUGCAAUGUCAUCCCUGUGCUGCUAGAGAAAAUUCAAUGUUAAGGUCUUGUUUGGAAAGGCCAUGUAACAAUUUCUGUCACUCAUGCAAGAAAGGAUAGAUACCAUCUCCUGUGCUUCUGCUUCCCUUACUGCUGUUGUAAAUGUUUGCUUGACUCCUAUAGUUAUGGUUUACAGAUACAUGGUGGUGGCCUGAGGGUACAGAGGCACCCCAUUGGUAAAGGCACCCAAUGUUCCUUCAGAGGCUAAAAGACUGUUAAAAUAAAGACUGAGUAAAACGUAUUAGCCAAAUCUUCAAUCACAAAAUAUUUUCUAAUUGGAAGGAUUCGACAAAGUUAAUAACAUUGGGUAUUGUUUAUGGGGCCUUUAUUGGUGGGCUCACAUAUUAAACUUGUGAUAAUCUACCAUGAGAUGCUAGUCUUUUCUAUUUAAAAUAAGACAACAGAUUGGGCUAUUGAACAGAGAAGUGGAGGUAAUCAUCCCUUUACUCACCUGUUCUUAAUAACAAGUUUCAAUCCUUAAAGUCUCUGUUUUGAUUUACUUUAAGAAGUAUUAAGUAUAUUAUGGGUGCCAAUGAAAGUAGUUUUGCCCACUAUAUGAUAUUUUAAGGCAAUGUGUGUUACAACAUGAGGAAUCAGACAAAAUAGUAUUUCUGACAGUUAAGGUAAAUUAUAUAUGGUGUGUCUACAUCUAUGAAAUUCAUUUUCUCUAUGAGUGAUAUACAGCCAAUAAGCCUGGUGAUUAGAAGAUUAACCCAUUGGGGCUUGUAAAUGUCAGCAUUAAGCCACAUAUUCUAGAUGUUUUGCAUUUGAAAAACAACUCAGUUAUCUUCUCCUUUACUUUGAACUGCAGUUAAGGUCUCUCUCUCUCUCAUCCACCACAGAUGUAUACUUCAUACUUUUGGACAUUUGGCAGUCAAGGAAGCAGGCCUGAUAGCAGCAAGGGAAGCAGCAUAGGAGGUGGGCAAGUCCUACCCUUGUAUGAACUAUUGCUGUUGUUAGGUAUCCAGGAUGCCAUGUUUAAUUCAACCAGAGUGUUGGACUCCCUUCUUUAAAUCACAGACUACACCAUCUGCCCCAUCACAGGUGUGCAUAAUCAUAAAAAUUGUGAUUGGCCCAAGCAGCCAUUAACUGUUGUGACCUCUAACUUUAUUAUUGGUAAGAGGAAUUCAAGCACUGACAAGGUAGGGUGCUCUAUUGUCACUACUCUUCCAAAUGGCAACCUCAGAGACCACCUUCCAAACCCAAGCAGAAUCUAAUAGUACAUCAUGCUAGAGUAUGGUCACUUAUCAUCUUGGGACAAAAGCAUUUUAGGAUGGGAAAAAAUUGGCAAGAAUUAGCAAAGACAAUACCUCACAGGGCAAAGAGCAAGUCCUCCAGUGAUUGGCAGUUCUUUCUCAGGCAACCUUCACCAUAUCCUGGGGCCAAUUUAGUCACUGAGCAGUUAAAAUUAGCUUAGAAGCAGCUCACUCAGCAGGGAACCAUUAGUUAAAGGUAACCAAGUGCCCUGGUCAUGGUUGGGCCAUCCUGUUUAUAAUGCCAGUUAUUUCAAUUGUCUUUAAUUUACCUCAAUGAAUAUGGAAGGACUCUUGCAUUUGGAUUAGGGGGAAUGGGGAAACACUAGAAAGAUGAUAUUGUGCGGGAAGCCAUCCGUGAAAUGUGUGAGGGCCUUUUCAGCAUUGUAGCCAAGGACAGGGUAGAUCUGGCAUUAGAAAGUUCCAGAGUCAGUCCCACUGGGAUGGACAGCCCGAUGGGAAUGAACUUCUCCUCUGCUCUGUUAGAGGAUGUGGAGUAGUAGAGGAGAAGGGCUGUGACCCUCUAGGAACUGAGCAGCUUACCUAGCCCCACCUUUUCCUGUUUUGGUGAAGAACUUUCCAUAGAAUUCCUUUGAUGUCUUCCCAAUAUAAAUAAAGCAAACACAGGCUCCGUUCUUUGUUAGAAGCUGGUCAUCUUCGCCUGUCGCUGCCACCUUUUUGAAACUUUCUGUGUUCGGUGGUCAUUUCGCUGUUCUACUUAGAUUUUAUUUCUCAAGCAGUCUAUCCCACUGAAGGGAAACCCAUUCCCUCACCUGUGCAGGAUGUGAGUGAUAAUGUCGAUAGCAAUUUAUUAAUCCCAUAUGUUCAUAGUCUGGGGGAAAAGGACCCUAUGUCACACUGAUGUCACAUUGAGGUUACAUACUGUUACAAGUGAAAAUCCAAGGAUGGGGGAGGCUGAUUGGUUAGUAUCAAGAAGGUGAGGUGUCUCUCUGAUAACCACCUGAGGAUUAACUAUCAGGGAAUUGAAACCCGCUAUUCAGGGAUAAGCAGGUACUGAACCUAGUCCUUCUGGUAAGUGGGGUUGUUUGGCUAGGGGAUUUUAUUCAGUGGAGCCAAGGCAGAAGAGGAUUUUCACUUAGACUUCUAAGGCCCUGUCAAUUUACUAGAUGUCAAGGCAGCACAUAAUAUUAAUCUUUAUACUCUUUUUUUCUUCCUCCUAACCUCCCUCCCUCCCUCCCUUCCUCCUUCUUUCUUUCCUCCUCCCUCCCUUUUCCUGUAUUUUCUUCUUUCAUAUAUUUUCUUAUAUAAAUUUAUUCAACAUACAAUCAGAAUUCAUAUUCUGCAGAUGUAUAAUACAACCAUAUAGAAUAUUUAAAACUAUCAUUCUUCCUAAACAUUCUGCACACAUCAUAUACCUGUUAUUGUAGGCUGGAUUUUGUCUCCUCAAAAUUCAUAUGCUGAAGAAGUCCCAAAUCCUAUAUUUCAGAAUUGACCUUGUUUGUAGAUAAGAUCCUUAUAGAGGUAAUCAAGACAAAAUGAGAUGAAUAGAAUGGGCUGAAGUCCAAUAUGAUCUUUGUUUUUAUAAGAAAAGGAAUUUGGAUACAAAUACACAUUGAGGGAAGGGGAUAUGAAGAUAUGUGCAGAGUGCCAUGUGAACAUGAAGAUGGCCAGCCACUUCAGGCCAAGGAGAGAGACCCGAACACAUCCUUCUCUUGUAGUCCUUGAAGAAAUUAAUUCUGCCAACAUCUUGAUCUUGAACUUCCAAUCAUCAGAAUUGUGAGAUAAUAAGUCACUGUUAUUCUAGCCAUCCAAUUUGUGAUUCUUUGUUACAGCAGUCUGAGAAAAUAAAUACACAAGUCUAGGUAUGAAAAAAUGAAUACAGUAAAAAGCUGCUAAGCUUACAUAAAUAAGAUACUAUAUAUUUAGUAGUAAUAUAUAUUUGAUAUUAUAAAGUUCUCUUAAAAUUAUGAAUAGUUAUGGACAAUUUUUAAAUAUAUGCAUGGCUGGAAUCAUAUGUUGUCAAUGGAUCAUCUCAGAUGCCUGUCUAAGUAUAUGAAAGCUCUUGCCCUCAUUUGAUUGGACUGAAAAUAUAAAGAAAACACUGGGUUUAUAUAAUUAUGUGAAAUGCUGAAACUUUUAAACUUUAGUGAAUUUUAAGAAAAAUUCUGGACUUUGAAUAUUCUGUCAUCAGCAUGCUAAUUUAAAAUUCAUCAAAUCAAAAUAUGUCAAAGACUGUAUGAAAGCACACCUCCUAAAAUACAAAUUUUCCACUGGGAUAUGCUUUUCCUUCCAUGACAAUCAAAUCUGGUAAGUAGCUAGAAUUUUCUAUGAAGGUGACAUUGUCCUUAAAGCAUUUUACCCGAGAAAUUUAAAUUUUAAUGUGGUACAUUGGAGAUACUGGUCUGUUGAAAUUCCAUAUAUUAUGGGGUUGAAAAGAACCUCAAAACUUUGUCAGAAUGUCAGGGAACUGGUGCUUUAUUCUGAGAUUACAAGUGGCAUCAAUGCAGGUUUUUCCAAAUGAGAAGGGGCAUGAGAAACAUACACUUUAGAAAAAUUACUCUGCAUUCAGAGAGAUGAACAAUUUGUGGACUGAAGGGAAGGAACUUGCUGAAGAGACUUACUGGUUGUUCUUUCCUCCACCCUUGCUUGAAUUCUUUCUGCAUUUUUAAUUCAUCUUAUAACUCACUAUCAGAAAUCCUUCUAAAAGAAAGGUUUACUACUCUAUCAUUAUCCUUUAAUAUCUUUUUCAGUGGCAUCUAUUUUUACAAGUAAGGUCAAAUGCUUUGAGCUUACCAUGAAAGCUUUCCAGAAAAACAAACAAAAACCCAGAUAUCUGGUAUAGAUUGGCCAAUAUUUUCUAUAAGUAUAUUAACUAUAUUAUUACUGUUACUAGAUUCUAUUAAUCCAAAUGGAAGUACACCGUCCUAAUCAUUAUUCUUUUGUAGUUAAUCUAUUUUUUCUCUUAUUUAUGUUAAAAAACUUUUCUUUCCCUUAUUAUACAAUUUUAUCAAUAUAAAUUCCAGGUUAAAUUUAUUUUAUUUAGGAAUCAAUUGUCAGAUCUUGGAAAUUCUUUUAUUUUUUAUUUUUUUAGUUUUAGAGGACACACAGUAUCUUUAUUUAUUUUUAUGUGAUGCUCAGGAUCGAACCCAGUGCCUCACACAUGUGAGGCAAACGCUUUACCACUGAGCUACAGCCCCAGCCCAGAUCUUGGAAAUUCUUACCCAUUGGUUCUUCACCUAAUUUCUUUCUGGCAUUCUAUUUGGUCAUAAUAGAAGACUUAUAAAAAGUAUGAACUUUCUUAUCCUGUUUUCUGUUUUUCAAUUUUAUAAUGCUGUUUUGAGAUCACAUUAAAUCUUGAAGCUAGGUUCUGAAUAAUUUUAUUAUUGGUGUCUUUUAGUUUUCAAAUUACCUUCAAAUACUUGAUUUCAUGUUUAUAACCUAUAAGACAUAUGAAAAUAUUUAGUUAUCAUGUACAGGAACAGUGAGCUUUCAGAAUAACAUGGUCAGUACUUCAAAGGAGAAGGAAUCAGAACACUGCCCAUGAUCCAGAUUCUUCCCCUUGUACCACUCCCUCAUAACUGACAACACCUUCCAACUACAAAAGUAAUGCCAAUUAUGACUUACCACAUUGAUUAUUUGUACAAAUUUUGGAAAUUUAUUCAAACAGAAUGAUUCAAGAAAUUCCUGACUUCUAUUAUUUAAUAUUCUAUUUGAGAUACGAAUCUGUUUUUCCAUGUUACUAAUUUAUUUCUAUUGCAAAAUUUUGUUGCAUUGUAUCUUCUAUAUCCAUGCAUAUUCAUAGUAUGUUUAUCCAUUUUAUUGUGAAUAAGCAUUUGGAGUGGCUCCACUUUUAAGACUAGAGCGGAAAAUGUUGCUAUAAAUAUUCCAUGCAUGCAUUUUCAUGAACAUAAAAAUAUGUUAGUGAUGAUUUUGUAUUGUGUCAACUUAGUUGAGCUGAAAUUCUAUUUUCUGGAAUUGUCUUUCUGGUAUAGCUCCAGUUUAGGGUUGGCCACAAGAGAAAUUUGGGUAAAAUUAAAAGGAAGAAUGCAGCUAUUUCAUGGUUGCAGCUCAUUUUCAGCUUCCACUUUUCUAAAUUCUAGGCCAGGUGUAUGUGCAUUCUGGGGUGAAGCACACCAGCCGGUUCUGCAUAACAACCUCAUCAUUGAGCUUGCAUUGGUUAGUGUCAGAAAAAUAUUCUGAUCUGUCAGUCCGUGCUUCAGAUUGUUUAAUAAGUUUAGUUUGUCCUUAUAGCCUCUAGUUUUUCAUUACAAUUUCACGUAUUGUUGCUAAACCUUAAUUCAUGUCCAUUUUUCUUCCACACCUCCAGGACUCUGAUCACAGCCUGGCACCAGAUGCAGAAACAAAAGCCUUACAUAAAGUAUGUAACCAAAGUCUACUACCAUUAAGAAACAUAAUGUUUAUACUUCUUCAUCAAAUCCAGAAUAAUUCAGGUAUAUUCCUGGGGUUGACAUACAAUCCUCUAUAUUCAAUUUAUUAGCUAAUUCCCAAUGUUAAAAUAUCAAUCCAAACUUUUUUUUUUGCUCUCAUUUUAGUGGGUUAACUACUUGGUCACAAUUUACAUUGAUUUUUAACUAUUUUGUAGGUGCAAUAGACAGAAGUCCCUUGCCAGUUAAAUAUUGCAGAUAAUUUAUCUCAAUAUGUUUUUUGUCUUUUACCAUCAAUAUUGUCAU